UACCCGAGGGAUCAAACCACCGUAGUUCGGAGUAAAAGUUACGAGUAAAUUUGUUUGUUUGAUUUUUUAAGUUUUGAAAAUGGUUUUUAAAGAUAAAAUAAAAAUGUGAGGUUGGUUCAUUUUUAUUUGUGAAAUCAAGUCUAAAUGAUUAGGAUUGAUUGAUGUUUGAUUUAGAAAAGAGGCGCGUUCGUUUGGUUUGAAGUCCAAGGUUUAUUGUAAAAAAUGGUUUGAAUGAUAAAAGUCUCUUGGUUUGAAGUCCAAGGUUUUUGAAUGUAUUCGAUGAUAAAAAUAUUUUUGACGCUUUUCGAUGUUUGAAACUAAAUUGCUUGCAUAUUUUUUGAAAGAGGUUUUGACCUCGUUUUUUCGAUAUAUAAAAAAAAUGGUUACGCGCGAAGAACAAUAUUAACAUCAUACUAAAUAAGCGCGAAGACGAACCGUAAUGAUAUUUUGAUCAAAACGGUGUCUUUUCCUCGGAAUUUAAUUUUCUAACGCAUUGACGGAAAGCAAUAAAUAAAUAUGCAUGCAAUGCAAGGUUUCUCAUUUAUAAUUACAUCUUCCUAAUUACAUUCUAAU
rnacentral:lncRNA from 1 species